rnacentral:rRNA from 1 species
AUUGAACGCUGGCGGCAGGCCUAACACAUGCAAGUCGAACGAGUGGCGGACGGGUGAGUAAUGUCUGGGAAACUGCCUGAUGGAGGGGGAUAACUACUGGAAACGGUAGCUAAUACCGCAUACCAUCGGAUGUGCCCAGGUGGGAUUAGCUAGUUGGUGGGGUAACGGCCCACCAAGGCGACGAUCCAUAGCCGGUCUGAGAGGAUGAUCGGCCACACUGGAACUGAGACACGGCCCAGACUCCUACGGGAGGCAGCAGUGGGGAAUAUUGGGCAAUGGACGCAAGCCUGAUCCAGCCAUGCCGCGUGAGUGAAGAAGGCCUUCGGGUUGUAAAGCUCUUUUGUUAGGGAAGCGGUACCCAAAGAAUAAGCACCGGCUAACUACGUGCCAGCAGCCGCGGUAAUUC